rnacentral:rRNA from 1 species
CGGGAAACUGGGGAUAAUACCGGAUGGAUCACUCAUGCUGGAAUGCUAGGUGGUCGAAAGGUAACGCCCUUGGAUGGGUCUGCGGCGGAUUAGGUUGACGCCGGUGUAACGUACCGGCGUGCCUGUAAUCCGUACGGGUUGUGGGAGCAAGAGCCCGGAGAUGGAUUCUGAGACACGAAUCCAGGCCCUACGGGGCGCAGCAGGCGCGAAAACUCUACAAUGCAGGCAACUGCGAUAGGGGGACAUCGAGUGGCAUCCACCUUGGGUGCCUGUCCAACCGUCUAAAAAACGGUUGUUAGCAAGGGCCGGGUAAGACCGGUGCCAGCCGCCGCGGUAAUA